rnacentral:sRNA from 1 species
AUCAUCAUUAUAAAAAAAGAAUUAGACUUUUUCGCAUAUGCCAUAAUUUGAAUUUUUAAAAACGAAUAUAAAUUGUUCAAUACAUGAAAAAAUAUUAUAACGGGUGAAAAAUAGAUUUAAGAAAACUUUCUACUGAGUAACAGGUCAUAAUUUGAAAUAUUUAUAUUCAAUUUCAUACAUAUUAUAUUGAAAAUUUAUAAUCUUAUAUACUACAAUAAUUAAUAACAUAUUAGAUUUUUUUUAUGUGUAUGAUGUGAUUCAAUUUUUAAUACAAGCUGGAAAAUCCUAGAAUUGACGGGUUUAGAUCGAUAUUAAUACAAGAUGGUAUACUACAGGUGAAACUCUUAAAUUAACAAUCAAACUACAAGUGUAUAAUCUUAAACACUAAACAAUAUAGAUAAUAUCAACAAAACAUAUACAACUCACUGUUUACUAUACAUUUAAAAUCAAAUAAAAUAAUAUCAUAUAUUUUUAAAUCAUCUUUACAGUAAAAGUUUUUAGUUUAACUAAAAUAUAAGCCUACAUGCGGUAUACUGCAGGUUAAUAUCUAGAUUAUAGGGCUUAUUGGAUCUAAAAACGGGUCAUCAAAGAUUUCCUAAACUGAAGCAAAAUAUACUGAAUAUUUGAAUAUCUAUCUGUUACCAAAUUAUAAACAAAGAAGUUCGUAAAACAAUUUAAUAAUUUUAUAUACGAAAUCAAUUAAAUCUUAAUCACAGAAAAAUUAGCACAAAAAAAAGUAUUCAACAAUUAAAAAAUUAUCAAAUCUCUGUGUUAUAUAAGUUUUGAUACUAUAUUUGAAUAAAGUGUAAUAUACCUUUUCAAUUUGUAUUCUUCAACUAAUAAAAGCUAACUAAUAUAUUUGCUAAUCUUAUACCUAUCAAAACCGACUAUCGUUUAUUAUCUCUAUAGUAUUUUUGCAAGACUUUUUUUGGUGGAUUUGGGUAAAAGUGCAUUCGGGUCAUAAGGUACAUUCCCCUAAUAAAUAAAUAUAAUGCACUCCUAUGUUAUUAGCUAAAAUGUUUAGAUUAUAAUUCAAAGUCAUAUCAUUAAUAAAAUUAAUAUUAAUAAAAUAAAUGGCUUUUUGGUAAGACGGAUUUGGAGGGACGGGUUUUUGAAUAAACAUUAAUAAAAAAGUAAAAUAUAAUUAAUCCACCGUUUCAAUACGGGUUAAAUCUUUAAUUUAUUAUUUUUUAAAACUACUAAUAUUAAACAUAUCAAAUCAUCCUAAUUUAGAAAAGAUUAUAUAAAACCAAAAAUGUUAUGUGGUAUGUAUAAUGUUACUAUAUAUAAAAUUAAACUAUAAAAUAUAAAUGUAUUAGAGAAUGAUACAAUUUGCAAAACUUUUAUAUAUAAAAAAUAAUUCUUAAAAUUUUAAAAUUAC